ACUCCUACGGGAGGCAGCAGUGGGGAAUAUUGCACAAUGGGCGCAAGCCUGAUGCAGCCAUGCCGUCGUGUGUGAAGAAGGCCUUCGGUUGGUAAAAUGCACUUUCAGUCGUGAGGAAGGUAGUGUAGUUAAUAGCUGCAUUAUUUGACGUUAGCGAUNAGAAGAAGCCGCUUAACCCCGUUGCCAGCAGCCGCGGUAAUACGGAGGGUGCGAGCGUUAAUCGGAAUUACUGGGCGUAAAGCGCAUGCAGGUGGUUUGUUAAGUCAGAUGUGAAAGCCCGGGGCUCAACCUCGGAAUUGCAUUUGAAACUGGCAGACUA
rnacentral:rRNA from 1 species